rnacentral:rRNA from 1 species
GACGAACGCUGGCGGCAUGCCUUACACAUGCAAGUCGAACGGCAGCACGGGGCAACCUGGUGGCGAGUGGCGAACGGGUGAGUAAUGCAUCGGAACGUACCUUUCAGUGGGGGAUAACGUAGCGAAAGUUACGCUAAUACCGCAUAUUCUGUGAGCAGGAAAGCAGGGGAUCGCAAGACCUUGCGCUGAUUGAGCGGCCGAUGUCAGAUUAGCUAGUUGGUGAGGUAAAGGCUCACCAAGGCGACGAUCUGUAGCGGGUCUGAGAGGAUGAUCCGCCACACUGGAACUGAGACACGGUCCAGACUCCUACGGGAGGCAGCAGUGGGGAAUUUUGGACAAUGGGGGCAACCCUGAUCCAGCCAUGCCGCGUAAGUGAAGAAGGCCUUCGGGUUGUAAAGCUCUUUCGGCCGGGAAGAAAUCGCACGGGCUAAUACCCUGUGUGGAUGACGGUACCGGAAUAAGAAGCACCGGCUAACUACGUGCCAGCCGCCGCCGUAAAAC